rnacentral:misc_RNA from 1 species
CAAUUUCGGUCCCUGGAAUCCGAUUCCAGAAAAUUAUCCAUUUCCAAUGCGUCGUUUUCCCUACUCUCUGAAACCCUAGGCCGACCCGUGCCAGUUCGCCGGUGCCUGUGCCACAUAUCAAGCGCAACGUUAUCCAGAGAAUCGACCGGGCUCUGUUCCUUUAACGGACUAUCCGAGUCCUGAUCAAAAUCCCUAAACCCUUCGUCUCCAUCUUCUCUACUAUCUUCCUCAGCCCCUCCUUCCUCGACCUUCGAUAUCCAAUUAGAUCUCACUCUCUUCGUCGUCACUCUUUUCGCUUUUUUUACGGUGCCCAAACUCAAGAUUUACGUCACCGUUUUGAUUGUUUCCCUCUGGUUCUUGGAUUUCAUAGCUAUCAUUGCCGU